rnacentral:rRNA from 1 species
GAUGAACGCUGGCGGCGUGCCUAAUACAUGCAAGUCGAGCGAACGGACGAGAAGCUUGCUUCUCUGAUGUUAGCGGCGGACGGGUGAGUAACACGUGGAUAACCUACCUAUAAGACUGGGAUAACUUCGGGAAACCGGAGCUAAUACCGGAUAAUAUUUUGAACCGCAUGGUUCAAAAGUGAAAGACGGUCUUGCUGUCACUUAUAGAUGGAUCCGCGCUGCAUUAGCUAGUUGGUAAGGUAACGGCUUACCAAGGCAACGAUGCAUAGCCGACCUGAGAGGGUGAUCGGCCACACUGGAACUGAGACACGGUCCAGACUCCUACGGGAGGCAGCAGUAGGGAAUCUUCCGCAAUGGGCGAAAGCCUGACGGAGCAACGCCGCGUGAGUGAUGAAGGUCUUCGGAUCGUAAAACUCUGUUAUUAGGGAAGAACAUAUGUGUAAGUAACUGUGCACAUCUUGACGGUACCUAAUCAGAAAGCCACGGCUAACUACGUGCCAGCAGCCGCGGUAAUACGUAGGUGGCAAGCGUUAUCCGGAAUUAUUGGGCGUAAAGCGCGCGUAGGCGGUUUUUUAAGUCUGAUGUGAAAGCCCACGGCUCAACCGUGGAGGGUCAUUGGAAACUGGAAAACUUGAGUGCAGAAGAGGAAAGUGGAAUUCCAUGUGUAGCGGUGAAAUGCGCAGAGAUAUGGAGGAACACCAGUGGCGAAGGCGACUUUCUGGUCUGUAACUGACGCUGAUGUGCGAAAGCGUGGGGAUCAAACAGGAUUAGAUACCCUGGUAGUCCACGCCGUAAACGAUGAGUGCUAAGUGUUAGGGGGUUUCCGCCCCUUAGUGCUGCAGCUAACGCAUUAAGCACUCCGCCUGGGGAGUACGACCGCGAGGUUGAAACUCAAAGGAAUUGACGGGGACCCGCACAAGCGGUGGAGCAUGUGGUUUAAUUCGAAGCAACGCGAAGAACCUUACCAAAUCUUGACAUCCUUUGACAACUCUAGAGAUAGAGCUUUCCCCUUCGGGGGACAAAGUGACAGGUGGUGCAUGGUUGUCGUCAGCUCGUGUCGUGAGAUGUUGGGUUAAGUCCCGCAACGAGCGCAACCCUUAAGCUUAGUUGCCAUCAUUAAGUUGGGCACUCUAAGUUGACUGCCGGUGACAAACCGGAGGAAGGUGGGGAUGACGUCAAAUCAUCAUGCCCCUUAUGAUUUGGGCUACACACGUGCUACAAUGGACAAUACAAAGGGCAGCGAAACCGCGAGGUCAAGCAAAUCCCAUAAAGUUGUUCUCAGUUCGAAUUGUAGUCUGCAACUCGACUACAUGAAGCUGGAAUCGCUAGUAAUCGUAGAUCAGCAUGCUACGGUGAAUACGUUCCCGGGUCU